AAGGAGCACAUAGCAUUUCGGGUCCGAGUGUGGCCCGGUGUUGCUCACGGGUGGAACGCUGACGCUGUACCGGAUUCGUCCGGUUCUAUAUCGACACACUGUUGGGUCCUGAAAGAACACGCGGAAGCGAGUUUUUUCGAGGAAGAAGAAUACGACAAGACCGGUCUUCAGUCAUACCGCGGGGCUUUGUGCCUUGGCUGGUGCUGAGCAGGGAUGUGGUCUUGUGUGUUGUUUGAGAACUGUACAGUGGACGCGAGCAUCUUUGUUU
rnacentral:misc_RNA from 1 species